GGAAGGGGAACAACCACAUUUGACUUGUAUCCAUAGAGGAUAAACUCAACUUAGCUAUUGAGCAUGUGAAGGAAACCAUCAGUGAACAAGAGAUUUCAACAAACAUUUAGAAGACAGGAAGCACAUGAGGGCACAUCAAAGGAAACAAGGAGGCCAGAGAAAUUGGAGGUCGCAGCUGUAGUGGACGAAGGAGCUGAUUCAUCACGCAGAAACUCUGAGAGGAUCUGGGCUCAGAGUUGGCAGGUGUUGGGGGCAGAGCAAGAAAGUCUCUACAUGCCCCUGGCCCACAUGUCCUCUGCCCAAAUCUAGUGCUCAGGCAACCCAACUUUAGCCCCUGGGGUAGAAGAACCUUCUCUAAAAUAUUAAAUUCUGGAUAGUGCUGAA